rnacentral:lncRNA from 1 species
GACAAUUGUCAUCACAGCUCUUACUGAAUAUAUCCUGAGUGGAUAAGGUUUCCUAGAAUUGAAUUACAGAAGAAAGUCCUAUGCAGAACACACUUCUAUUCUUAAUAUCGUCAUGGAUUGACUGCAAUUGGAUAUUUAGAGCAGUUAUAGCAUCAAUGAAGAAAAUGAUGAAUUAUUGCCUACAUACACUUGAACCACUGUGUGCAACCAACAACAAAACUUACUGGAACUCGUGUGCAUUCUGCAUACUAACAUCGUAAGGAAUAAAAUUUCUUUUUUCCCCUUAAUCUUUUUAUUA